rnacentral:rRNA from 1 species
AUUGAACGCUGGCGGCAUGCCUUACACAUGCAAGUCGAACGGUAACAGGUCUUCGGAUGCUGACGAGUGGCGAACGGGUGAGUAAUACAUCGGAACGUGCCUAGUAGUGGGGGAUAACUACUCGAAAGAGUGGCUAAUACCGCAUGAGAUCUACGGAUGAAAGCAGGGGAUCGAAAGACCUUGUGCUACUAGAGCGGCCGAUGGCAGAUUAGGUAGUUGGUGGGAUAAAAGCUUACCAAGCCGACGAUCUGUAGCUGGUCUGAGAGGACGAUCAGCCCCACUGGGACUGAGACACGGCCCAGACUCCUACGGGAGGCAGCAGUGGGGAAUUUUGGACAAUGGGCGAAAGCCUGAUCCAGCAAUGCCGCGUGCAGGAUGAAGGCCUUCGGGUUGUAAACUGCUUUUGUACGGAACGAAAAGCCCUGGGUUAAUACCCUGGGGUCAUGACGGUACCGUAAGAAUAAGCACCGGCUAACUACGUGCCAGCAGCCGCGGUAAGAC